AGAGUUUGAUCCUGGCUCAGAAUCAACGCUGGCGGCGUGCCUCAGACAUGCAAGUCGAACGCGAAAGUCUCCUUCGGGGGAUAAGUAGAGUGGCGCACGGGUGAGUAACACGUAGGUAAUCUACCUUCGGGUGGGGAAUAACCCAGGGAAACUUGGGCUAACACCGCAUAAUGCAGCGGCACCACAUGGUGACAGUUGUUAAAGCGGGGGAUCUUAGGACCUCGCGCCUGAAGAGGAGCCUGCGGCGGAUUAGCUAGUUGGUGAGGUAACGGCUCACCAAGGUGACGAUCCGUAGCCGGCCUGAGAGGGCGGUCGGCCACACUGACACUGACAUACGGGUCAGACUCCUACGGGAGGCAGCAGUCGGGAAUUUUGGGCAAUGGGCGAAAGCCUGACCCAGCAACGCCGCGUGAAGGAUGAAAUCCCUCGGGAUGUAAACUUCGCAAGAAUGGGAAGAAUUAGUAGGGGUCAAUACCCCCUAUGAUGACGGUACCAUUUGUAAGCUCCGGCUAACUCCGUGCCAGCAGCCGCGGUAAUACGGGGGGAGCAAGCGUUGUUCGGAUUUACUGGGCGUAAAGGGCGCGUAGGCGGUCAGCACAAGUCAGUUGUGAAAUCUCCGGGCUUAACUCGGAAAGGUCAACUGAUACUGUGCGACUAGAGUGCGGAAGGGGCAACUGGAAUUCUCGGUGUAGCGGUGAAAUGCGUAGAUAUCGAGAGGAACACCUGCGGCGAAGGCGGGUUGCUGGGCCGACACUGACGCUGAUGCGCGAAAGCCAGGGGAGCGAACGGGAUUAGAUACCCUAGUAGUCC
rnacentral:rRNA from 1 species